UACGUAGGGCGCAAGCGUUGUCCGGAAUUAUUGGGCGUAAAGAGCUCGUAGGCGGUUUGUCGCGUCUGCUGUGAAAACUCGAGGCUCAACCUCGGGCUUGCAGUGGGUACGGGCAGACUAGAGUGCGGUAGGGGAGACUGGAAUUCCUGGUGUAGCGGUGGAAUGCGCAGAUAUCAGGAGGAACACCGGUGGCGAAGGCGGGUCUCUGGGCCACUACUGACGCUGAGAAGCGAAAGCAUGGGGAGCGAACAGG
rnacentral:rRNA from 1 species